AAAGAAGCUUUCUUCUAAAAUUAGAAAACUUUUUAUGCUUGAAUUUAAGUUUAAAAUUUUGUUAGAUUUUUUGUACUAAAAAUCAAAGUUUUAUUCUGGCUUAAAAAUUUGAUAUAUGGUAAUUUUACAUGCAAGUUUAAAUUUAAAUAUUGGUUUGGGCAGUAAAUAGAUUUAAUGAUUAAGGAAGCUUAGAAUUAGAUAAUUAUUUGAGUAUAGACAAAUCUUGUGCCAGCAGUUGCGGUUAGACAUGAUAUACUUUUAAAUUUGAUUCGGGUGAUAGUUAUCUUAUGAUUAAUUAAACAAAGGUUGUUCUUAUAAGGUGAAAUUUUUUGAGUGGCUUAGUUUUUUUUUGGGGGGGGAAAUGCUAUUAGAUUUUUGAAAUAAACUAGGAUUAGAUACCCUAUUAUUGGAAAUAUAAAGUUGAACUCCUGAGAAGUAUUAGAUGUUCUUGAAAUUUAAAAAAUUUGGCGGUGUUUUAGUCUGUUCAGAGGAACCUGUCCUGUAAUUGAUAUUCCACGAUUAAUAGAACUUGUUUUUCAAGUUUGCAUAUCGUCGUUAUUUGAAUAUCUUUCAAGGGGAGAAUAUUCAAGAUUUAUAAUUUUAAUAUAAAUCAGAUCAAGGUGCAGCUUACAGGCAAGGAGAGAUGGGUUACAAUGAAAGUAUUUAUAUGGUUUAAGGGCUGAAAAUUUUUAAUAAAUAGGAUUUGAUAGUAAAGUGAAUAAUUUAAUUUAUUUGAUUAUAGCUCUAAAAUAUGCACAUAUCGCCCGUCGCUCCCAUUAUAAGGUGGGAUAAGUCGUAACAAAGUAGGUGUACCGGAAGGUGUACCUGGAAAGA
rnacentral:ncRNA from 1 species